CCGGCCGAGCGGCCGGCGGCGGCGGUGGGAGCUCCCCGGCGGCGCGGCCGGCCCCAGCCCGCCGGCCCCGCUCGGAGCGCGGGGUCCGCCGCACCUGCGGGCAGAGGGGCGGCUCAGGCCGGGCUCAGCCGCUCUGCGGGGCCUCCGCGCGUUUCUCGCCGCUCAAGCGUCGAGCAGGCUGUUGGUGUAGAGUCGGAGGCGGCUCUUGUAAAAAUCCGGGUGGCGGAGAUGCCGAAAGCGGGAUUAACGAACGCGGGGGAGCUCCGAGCCCCUCUGCCAGGCGGGGGCAUGAAUACCACACGCGCUUGGUGGUGGUGCAGUCCUCGCGUACCUGAAGAGUUGGUGCCUCGGUGUAUACAGAGUUGUGCCGGCUGCUUUUUAAGGACUAAGACGAGCCCUUAUGUCUCCUCAUUGCCCACGUAGCUAACUCGGUAAGGAGGAAGAUUUGCCAAACAGGUUGUAGUUGCCGCGCUGAGGUCGCACGGCGCGUGGUGUUGGCGGCCGUAUCACCUCCAAACUGGGGUGUCGUGGACACUGCUGAGAAGCGCAAGGCGAUAGCUAGUAAUUUCAGGGCAAAGUCUAUGUGGUUCAGGGUAGCUUAAUGUGGCCUUAGCUAGUCGUUUUAUUUUCGUAAUUAAAAUAUGUAUUACGUGGCAAGACUCACUCUAUCAUAUUAAUCAGGUUUACAAGGAUGUAAAUUGAUAUGAAAACUCUAUAUUAUAUUACAGAACUUGAUGUCUGAACCAGGAAGAGUCUUUCACAAUCCCUUUUUCUAUUCAGACUGCAUUUACCUGAUUGCCGGCUAACAGGUCUCUAUGUCAGAUCACAACUACUCGCAGUGAACUCAGAACAUGAGAGAAGAGAAAAAGGAAGCUUCUCAUUCUCCCAAAUGGAUCUCUUAAGCAUGAAGCUGAUGCGAUGCCAGCAGAACGUUGGCGGCUACAUCCGCUGGUACUCUGACUUUUGAGAAGUACAACUCUUGAUUGAGUUCAGGUGUCCUGCACCCACAAGGCUAUGGUUGAGAACCACUAGGAGCUUUAGGAAAGCAUUCGAGGAGUGUAAUUUGAAAAGAGAAACUAAAGCAGAAAGGAACCCGCUUUCUUGGGAGGGACUUGGACAACACAGUGGUCAAGUUGCUGAUUGCCGGUAUGCUUUACGGCUCCAAACUGUGCUAAGUCCGGUAAGGUAGAACUGAUCUGUUUUAAGUAAUGCCUCAGUGCAAACAAGGCCUUGAAGGUGAGUGUCUCUUUAUGUCUACUGUUAUAACAGUGGAGACGAGUCUCAUUAAUUCCGAGAUAAUACUAACGGCAGGGAAUCUUCAUUGACUAUAGUAUUUGUUAGCCUUUUCCAGACUCCUUGGUCAUUUUCCUAGAGCAAUGACUCAUCACUUCAUCACUGUGCUGAUUACAUUAAAUUGUUAUUACUAUUAUUUCAAUAUAAGUAACAUAAUGCUUAUGCUAAUUCACUUUGUGCGCAACUGUCAGAAUUCUUGAAACAGCCAUCAAUUGAAAGCAUCCUACAUGAGCAUUUCAGCAUUAUUUAGACUUUUCCUGAUUAUUCUAUUCAUAUUUAUGAUAUUUAACUCUGUUCAGUGAUGAUUUUCAAUAUAGUAUGUGAAAACUCAGAGCAAAUGGUCAGACAUUUUUGUGAAACCAUUGAUAUUGUUUGAAGGGAAAUCAGGACAUAACGUGACUGCUCUUCAGUUUUUACUAAAAUUCAGCCUUUUUUCUUCAGAUCUAAUCUAAAAUUCAGAUUUUUUUUCUUACAGAACAGGCCAAAGAGUAAUGUUGGGGUGGGAGUAUCAGGGAAGACUUCCCCAAAAGGAAAAGUCUGCUUUUUUGAAACAUUGAACACGGAUGAUAAAAUGAUGCUGUUAGAUUUAUUUUUUUUUUAACAGUAGCAGAACAAAAAUCAAACGUUGAGAGAUCUUAUGUUUGCAGUUACUUUAUUAAGCAGUUAGUUGUAUACAACUCCAAAAGAGUCUUCAGUUUCAAGGCUGCCUCUGAACUCUGUGCCCUGAAGAAAAGGAAGGCUUCAAAAUGUGGUUUCUGGUAUAUCCAACAUUAAAAAAACCCCAACCUUAUCGUCCUUCUUGCCUGCUUUUUCUUUGUAAUAGAAUGAAUUUGAAAACAUGAAAAAACACAGCAUAGCAUAAUAACGAAGGGACAGUACCAAGGUCUGACCUUGGUGAGGUUAUUCAUGUGCUUGAAGUUACACAAGUACUUUGUUCUGCCCAUAUGUGGAAUGCAAGCAAGCUCACCACAGUAACUGGCGUGAGUGAAGAAAGACUGGUGCCCUUGAUUAAUGGGAACAUUCAGUGGCAUGCCGAACAAGGAAACCAAGCUUUUAUAACAGGUAAAAUUUUGUAAAACUCAGUAAUUCAUCACAUCACCUGCCUGAGUUUAUUUUACCUAGAUAGACUUGAAAUGUCAUACACAUUUUAAUUAGCACGCUAUGUACUAUUGCUAAGUUUUAAACCAGGUACAGGUUUAUAAUAUCUGAGAAUGUACAUAGCAAGAAGAACAAAUUGCCAGUUUGUACUUAGCUGAACACAAAAUUGGCAAAAUUUGGUGCCGGGCAGUUAUGUAAAAGAGCUCAGUUCUAUCGAUCCAGAUCUCAAAGCUCACCUUAGGUUUUUGAUAUGACUUCUAGUCUUUAUAAGUGGCUCUGAUUUAUAUACAUUUCUAACUGAAGCAGGCCUUCCAGACUGCACAUGCAUGUAAUCCACCUACCAGGCAGGACUGUGGAACAAACAGAUGCAAGCAGCUCCACAAUUGUUCAUUGGCUUUGGGGAACAAAUGGAUGCCUAGUGGAUCAGCAUCACCUCAACAUGUUUUGGAAGUCUGUUCAAAGCUGCCCUUCUCCAUCCCCGCUGAGAAUGUAAAUUCUUGUAGCUCAAAAUGGUAUAACUGUUUUAUUCAAUAUUCCCAUUUUAUAUUUUUUGGAUACUCAACAUUAAUUUUGAGUGUAAUUCUGUUCCAGGUGUUUGUGCACUAGAAAAGGUUUUUGUUUCUAAGUGCAUGCUCUGCUAUAGUAAUUAUCCCUCCUGCACUGUAAUUCAAGCCUAAAAGUUGAUUUAUUCUCCAUGUGUUCUUUGUAGAAUUAAAUGUGUCGCUGUUGUAACUGACUUACUCCUGACAAAGCUGAUCUAAACAGUUGCAGAAAUGUCUCAUUGCCUUCGCAGUUAUGAGCCCAAUUAACUUGUCAACAUUUUCCAACAGUUAUUUACUACAGAUUUACCACAGCUCUAAUCAGCUAUAGAGGUGGGAGAAAGGACAAUUAGGGUAGGGAGUGUCUUUUCUUGCAGUUUUCUAGUGACAACUGUAACUGGAGCCUCAUUUCACAAGUAUUUUAGGAUAUGUAGGAAGUCAGAAAUGGUGAUGGGUCAGAAAAUCACAGAGAGGUUUGUUCAGUGAUUGUGAUCUGACUGUGAAGCCUACUGAAAUUUGCUUUUUUACUACUAAUGAUUUCAUUCUUGGUUCUUUCAACAGACAUUUAAAAAUGAGAUUAUCCCAUCUGUCUUAGCGUAUUUUGUAUGUCAUUUCACAUUUGCUACCUAAAGACCAGCUUCUGCUAUCUUUGUUCAUCAUAUGCUGAGAACACCACGGCUGCAUUGAAAAGGUGAAAAUUCAGAAAAAAUGGAGAACAUUGGCUGUUGUUCUGAUAGCAUUAAUCCCUCUCAUAUUUUGCUUCUUUGCAUGUAUUCUGUAUCGCCUGAACUAAAUUACUGUAGAUUCUCCUAGGAAAGUAUCACACUGAAUGUUGUGUGAUUUAAAUAUAGCUAGAGACUGCAAGGGGCCUUGCUAGAGAGUGGGUCACUGUGCAUUGCACUUUCUGGAGCUGCUGAAAGGUGCAGAGACCAGAAGCUGUUGAUCUAGCCUGACACCUUCAGAAUAAACAUUGUGUUCAAAACGCCUUCAUCCUUCUCUUACGAGAAUACAAGCACCUACUCCUUUUGCGAGAGGACUGCCCUCGCACUUCGGAUCUUUUUUCUUCACCCCGACCAUCACAGCGGCGAAGCGUGCCCUCCUGGCAGCGGGGCAGGACGCCAGCGGCGGCCCCUGGAGGUUCCCGGCAGCCUCUUCCAGGCCCUCAGUCCAUCACUGCCCGCUAGUGACGUGACGGUACCAUCUGGCGCCGAGUUGGGAUUGCACAAUCCAUUCGCUGUCAGGGUGCAUCAAUAACCGGCAACGUUCAAAAGGUUCAGCCCUCUUUGACGACAGGCGUGUCUGCGAGGGUGUUUCUUUUCAAACCUCUCUGGGGUGAGAGGAGAUGCUUUUAGGUCUGGGAAACUAUGCGUCGCGUUCAAGAACCAAAUCAUGAUGAUCUGUCUAUAGAUAAUUCACGUUGCAAUUCUGGUUUUAAGAUACCUAAGGAAUAUAUGUAAUGAAUAUAAAA